rnacentral:rRNA from 1 species
UUUCAAAAACAUGUCCUUUUGUUUUAAAUAUAAGGUCUAACCUGCCCAAUGAUUUAAUUUAAUGGCCGCGGUAUAUUAACUGUGCUAAGGUAGCAUAAUCAUUUGUCUUUUAAUUAAAGGCUAGAAUGAAUGGUUGGACGAGGUAUUUUCUUUCUUUAAUUUAGUUUAUGAAUUUAAUUUUUUAGUUAAAAAGCUAAAAUUUAUUUGGGGGACGAGAAGACCCUAUAGAUCUUUAUAUUUUAUGUUAUUAUAUAUUUUGGUGUAAUUAAUUGUUUUAAUAGUAUAAUUUAUUUAAUUGGGGUGAUUGUAGAAUUUAAAUUAACUUCUAUUUUUUUAUUCAUUAAUUAUUGUAUUUUUGAUCCAGUUUUAUUGAUUAAAAGAUUAAGUUACCUUAGGGAUAACAGCGUAAUUCUUUUGGAGAGCUCAUAUCGAUAAAGGAGUUUGCGACCUCGAUGUUGGAUUAAAAUAAGUUUUGGGUGUAGGGGCUUAAAAACUAGGUCUGUUCGACCUUUAAUUUUUUACAUGAUCUGAGUUCAA